GAUUUAAGGACACUGCUCUCACACACUGGUUAUAUCAGCGUGAACAACUGCAGAAUGACUUGGGAAAAACUGCAGAACUCACCAUGUCAAAAAUCAUCAUUCUUUAUCAAGUGGAUCAUGGCAGUACCCAGAGGCCCCAUUCGGGGCUCACAGCUCCAUUGUGUGGGAUACUGUAGACACAUGUAAUAAGAGAGAUGGUCUAUGCCCAAAGAGCUUAUGAUCUUAACCCAUGAUGAAAGACAACAGGUGUAUAGUACAAACCCAUGGGGGAAGGAUAAGGGAAAAACAGCCUUGAGAAUAAAAAGCAACAGGCCCAGCCGGUGACAAGUGUUUGGUGUCAGAAGGAAGUUUUAAGGAGAUUUGAAGGAGAACAAUAAAGGAGCUUUACGGUUAUUAAUGGGGAGAUUUUUCCAUGCAUAAUGGCUAACCUGGAAGAGAACAUAAAAUUGCUUGUUAAAAGAUUGCACUGCAGAAAAGUGAAGUGGAGUGAUGGUGAUGACACUGCAAACCCCUCUCUUCAAAAAAAAAAGGAGCAAACUCCCCCCUUAGGUAAGCUACCACCGCACCACUCUAUUGCUGGAGUGUUAACAAUUUAUACAAAUGCAAAACAAGCAAAUUUGAGUAUUUUAUUCCCUCAGGUAAAAAAUCCUUUUCUAGUUCAUCACUGCAAACACUCAGAAUUUGUAGGCCAUUCUCAGUCACAGCUUACAUAAUUAGGAAGCUGUGGAAGUCAUCAUAGAUGGACAGAUGAAAGCAAAAUCCAGGUACACCAAGAACAGGGAGAUGAGUCAAAGAUCCAAGAACUGCUUAAACAUUUGCAGAGUCACGUAGUGAAUUUCUGGAAAGACUGUUUGCAGUCCAGGUGCUCAAAAUACGUGACUCUCAGCUGUAAAAGUGUGAGGACUGAGGGCUCAGUAAAUGUACUUGAAUAGUCCUCUCUGUAGAUUUGAUUGUCACUCUAUUUUUCCUGCAUGCAGAUUUUGGUCCAGUAGUCCUCAUAUUUUAUUUAUAAUUUAGGUCAUAUGCUGCUUUCAUAAUUUUUGUCUAGUCAUUUAAAGCAUCUUUGCACAGUAUUCAGACAAGAGAAAAUAUUGGGGGUUUAUUAUUAUUAUUAUAUUUUCCAUUUUCCUUGGAUUUAAGCAAAGUCUACAUAGUGCAGAGUCUAUGAAACACUUCAAAUUCACUUUGAAACUUUACUUCAAUGCUAUUCAAAAGUUGAGGCAUUAGAGUUGUCCAUGAACAGUGAGAAUGAAGCUCAUUUCUUAACAUUUCUGAAAGGUAAAAGCAAAUCUGUAAGCAUUUUAAGCAAUUUUUAAGCAAUUUUUUAAGCGAUCACAAACACUUAUUCAUAACACAUGCAAAUGUCACACUCAAAAAAGAACUUUACUGGCAACAUGCUUUAAAAAAUCAGCCUUUUAAUAAGGAUGUUUUACAAGUGGGGUCUCUCUUAGAACAGAGAAUCAAAAAACUUCCAUUACUGAAAUAACUUUAAAUUAUGCAUUUAUAAGAGCAAAAAUUCAAAAAUUAGAGCCCAAAUUAAGACUGAAAGGCUAAGAUUCUCAGAACUGUUCAUUGGUGUCUCUUUUUGGCUAAUUACAUUCAAAACCUCUGAAGAUGCCUUACAUGAGUGCUCAGAAGUGAACUGCAGGAAAUACUUGGAGAAAAUUAGGUUCAUUAAGAUCUCUUCAUUGAAUCAUAGAAUUGUUUAGAUUG
rnacentral:lncRNA from 1 species